CCUACGGGAGGCUGCAGUGGGGAAUAUUGCACAAUGGGGGGAACCCUGAUGCAGCGACGCCGCGUGGGUGAAGGAGUACUUCGGUAUGUUAAGCCCUAUCAGCAGGAAAGAAAAUGACGGUACCUGUCUAAGAAGCCCCGGCUAACUACGUGCCAGCAGCCGCGGCAAUACGUAGGGGGCAAGCGUUAUUCGGAUUUACUGGGUGUAAAGGGAGCGUAGAUGGGAGUGCAAGUCCGGAGUGAAAGCCCGGGGCUCAACCCUGGGACUGCUCUGGAAACUGUAAAGCUGGAGUGCGGGAGGGGCAGGCGGAAUGCGUGGUGUAGCGGUGAAAUGCGUAGAUAUCAGGAAGAACACCGACGGCGAAGGCAGCCUACUGGACCGUAACUGACGUUGAGGCUCGAAAGCGUGGGGAGCGAACAGGAUUAGAUACCCUAGUAGUC
rnacentral:rRNA from 1 species